CGCGGAAUGGAGCAGUAUGGUAGCUCGUCGGGCUCAUAACCCGAAGGUCGUGGGUUCAAGUCCCUCUUCCGCAACCA
rnacentral:tRNA from 1 species